rnacentral:rRNA from 1 species
AGCGAACGCUGGCGGCAGGCCUAACACAUGCAAGUCGAACGAAGUCUUCGGACUUAGUGGCGGACGGGUGAGUAACACGUGGGAACGUACCUUUUGGUUCGGAAUAACUGAGGGAAACUUCAGCUAAUACCGGAUAAGCUCUUCGGAGGAAAGAUUUAUCGCCAUUAGAGCGGCCCGCGUUGGAUUAGGUAGUUGGUGUGGUAAAGGCGCACCAAGCCUACGAUCCAUAGCUGGUCUGAGAGGAUGAUCAGCCACACUGGGACGGAGACACGGCCCAGACUCCUACGGGAGGCAGCAGUGGGGAAUCUUGCGCAAUGGUCGAAAGACUGACGCAGCCAUGCCGCGUGAAUGAUGAAGGUCUUAGGAUUGUAAAAUUCUUUUAGCAGGGACGAUAAAGACGGUACCUGCAGAAAAAGCCCCGGCUAACUUCGUGCCAGCCGCCGCCGUAA